GACGAACGCUGGCGGCGUGCUUAACACAUGCAAGUCGAACGGAAAGGCCCUGCUUUUGUGGGGUGCUCGAGUGGCGAACGGGUGAGUAACACGUGAGUAACCUGCCCUUGACUUUGGGAUAACUUCAGGAAACUGGGGCUAAUACCGGAUAGGAGCUCCUGCUGCAUGGUGGGGGUUGGAAAGUUUCGGCGGUUGGGGAUGGACGCGCGGCUUAUCAGCUUGUUGGUGGGGUAGUGGCUUACCAAGGCUUUGACGGGUAGCCGGCCUGAGAGGGUGACCGGCCACAUUGGGACUGAGAUACGGCCCAGACUCCUACGGGAGGCAGCAGUGGGGAAUAUUGCACAAUGGGCGGAAGCCGGAUGCAGCAACGCCGCGUGCGGGAGGACGGCCUUCGGGUUGUAAACCGCUUUCGCCUGGGACGAAGCGUGAGUGACGGUAAUUGAUAAAGAAGCACCGGCUAACUACGUG
rnacentral:rRNA from 1 species